CGAACGGCAGAGAUAGCUCAAGAGGGAGUGAGGAACCGCCAGUCGGUCCGUGACGGAGGAACCGUACGCUUGCGCUUUUGUUUUGCACUUGUGAACACCUUACUCCCUCACCUCCACACCUUAGAGCGCCAAAGAUCUGUGAGAACGUCAAGGAAUGGACAUAAUUAAGUAGAUGGGACGCCCUCUGGGACCUCUGGUCACCACAAGGAACAGGAACAGGAGGAGGAGGAGGAGGAGAAGGAGGAGGAACAACAACAACAACAACAACAACAACAAAUGAGUGUCCCAGUGUGACGUAUCAUAGGACGCGAUCCCGCCUGACCUAUGUGAAAAACCCGCUCCCUCCACGUGCUGCCUGACCCCUGUCCUGUCCCUGGGCAAUACACACCGCGUACUGGUGACGGAGUGACGUCACGCACUACGCCCCCAGAGCCUGACCCGGUUAAGUCUGAAAGAAAGUCCCUAGGAGGCUCGAUUUAAGGCAAAGGCUGGAAGAGAAGAUAAACUCGAACCCUCACCUUUCCAAACACGCAAGUCCGGGAAGGAGAAGUUGUCACAGCACAGAGUCAUUCAUAAAACGGCCCGAAAACCACCCAAGCCCACGUAUGCCAUGCCUGCCGCUGCCUCCCACCCAUGAACCGACAUGGUGACUUGCAACUCCGUCAUCAGGUCUUUUGGUCCAGUCUCAAGAAAUGGAUGGCUGCACAUGCACUGCCCCUGCCUCCUUCUGCUCGUGUCCCGGUCCAGGUGAAGUUCAGCACUGCAGUUUGAUAUCAAGUCUAGCCUGGCGUGAAAUGAAAGAUUGGACGGGUGUGAAGGCGUAAAAUGAAUCGUGUAAGUAGAGGCAAGUUGGAAGCGAUCAUGAAGGGCCUCUGCGGGGUUACCCGGCGGUGGCGGUGGCGGCGGCGUGGUAGUGGUGGUGGUGGUGAUGUUUGGCGUUCUUUGUUUCCACAGGAGCCGCCGGGUAAACUCGGCAAAUAACAUGACAUUACCAACACACCAAGCUCCUCAUCUGAUCCGGUAGUGACGAGCAUCAUCAACUGAGGAGGACUGACCCACGUCAUUACUGCUGACUGACAAAGGAUGAAGCGAAAACAACCAACAACUUCAAGUGCAUACCAUCUGCAACUCUGCUCGUUGUCACUUGUGGGAUUGAAACCGGGAGACAGGCAUGGCGGCUUGGAAAGGAACAGAAGGGCGUUUUAUGUUCAUCAGUCAUCAGCUGGUGCCGGUUGAGAUCUCCACAACACUGGUGGUUGAAGAGAGGUGACAGGAAAUGUGGACAAACUUCACCUACUUGACAACGACUUGGAAAUAGCUGACUUCUGGAAUGACCUUACCUUGGGUCACUGAGAUCACCAUGUCUGAACAUCAAUCACUUGGUCACUACAGAUAGUGAGGCAUUUCAUUACCAGAAUCAUGCAGCUCAGCCUGAAUACAUCCAGCAGCAGUGGAGGAGAGAAGUGGUGCUCCCUCUACAGUCAGCUUUUGGUGGAGAAUGCUCUAUUAGCAAGAAGAAUUCAAGUUUAUUCUUUAAAAUUUGCAUUCUUAA